rnacentral:pre_miRNA from 1 species
UGAAUACUCCCUCCGUCCCAAAAUUCUUGUCUUAGAUUUGUUUAGAUAUGAAUGUAUCUAGUCAAGUUUUAGUAUUUAGAUACAUCCAAUUCAAGACAAAGCUAAGACAAGAAUUUUGGGACGGAGGGAGUAUGAU